UGCUUACUAAUUCUUAGAGGACCACUCCAA
rnacentral:piRNA from 1 species